rnacentral:lncRNA from 1 species
UCGGAUGCAAGACAAAUGGGAAAUUGAGAUAUGGUGUUUCCGGCGUGUAGUCGUACGGAACAAGAUAACCAAUAAGGGUAAAAAAAAUUGAAAUUUGGACACUUGUUGACAAUAAUUAUCGGUUUUUGAAAGAUACAUAUUUCGUAAGCCUUAAUAGGCCAAAAGCGUUAAGAGGUGAAUUAUAGUUAAAACGACCGUGCGGUGUAAAUUGGAACGAGUCGUGUAGACGAGAUGGCAAUAAGCUUUAUCUCGCCAAUAUCAUCGGUCAUUUAGACCAACGGGUCAAAAGGUGAAAAUAUCACAUUUUGACAAUAUCGACUAAUGGUUUGAUGAGUUGUUUGAUUUCAGAAAUAAAUAUCGAGUGGAUAUUUACAUCGCUAUUACUUAGUAGAUAUCGAGGCAAGGUACUUAAAUGGGUCAAUGUAAUGAUCCGAGCCAGGUACGCAUAAUAACAUAACUCUCAUUUAAAUGUAAGACUAAUGAGAGUUAAACGAAGCCUAGAAUAAGUUUUUGAUUACCCUAAUAGGUAAACCAAAUGUUACGGAUGAUGGUCAUUAUAUUUGAAAGGCCUAGUGCCCUUUUAAAUAAAAUCAUAGUUAAAAGAUCGGAGUUUGGGUUAAACAAGUAAUUAAAAGUCAUUCGUCGUAAAUGAAGGACUGAUGUUAACCAAAACGCCCUUGUAGGCUAAAUUGAACAAACAACCCUUAAAGGUUGUUUGGAAACGAGUUUUACAAUUAGAUAAUUACUUAGGAUGAGUAUGGAAGUUGAAGGAUGUAAAACGUUAGUCAAAUGGCUCUAUUUGAGUCUUUGCCGUAAAAUAACGCUUUGAAGGGUAAAUUUUGAUAUAUAUAAAUCACCACAUUAAAUCCACCACAAAUAUAGUUGUGGUGGAAGAUCCUUUGAUAAGAAAUGUGGACAUAUAUAUUUGGAAAUGAAUGAAAGCAAAGGGUGCUUAAAAUAUGCUUAAAUACCUCAAACGGGUCAAAAUAAGCAUAUGGGUGAAAAUGGGUUAAAGAAGUUAUAUAAUUCUAUAAUUGGAACCUAAUAUGUUAGGCAUCAUUGAAUUUAAUAGAUUUAUGAGAAUUAAGGGUCAAACAAACUUGUAUGUUUGAUAAAAUCACGAACGGGUCAAAUUUUGGUAAAAGAGUAAUAAGCCGAAGACUUAAAAGUCUUAAAUUUUAUUCAAGCCGGAUGUCGGAUUUAACUCCAUAUGAUGGAGAAUUAAAUUACAAUCAUGUAGGAAGAAAUGGUAGGUCAAACGGAUAAGUGGUUUGAAAGAUACGAAAGAUUUCGUGCCAAAUACGGUAAAAUGGAAAGCUGGAAUGCAGAGACCACCGUAACUUACGGUGCCACCGUAAGUUACGGUGGAGAUGAAAAAGCUACGGUAGAUUCCCCCUGUUUUACGGUGGGAGAAUUAACAUUCAGAGGCCACCGUAACUUACGGUGCCACCGUAAGUUACGGUGGAGGCCAGGUUGAAAUUUUUGUUUUUUUCUUAUCAAUUGUUUCUCGGAUUCGUUUAGACACGUUUUAAACCCUGUAUGACUAAAGCAUUUCAUGUUUAU